UCCGUUCGGCUUCUGGGGUUGGCGGAGGUGUACGGCUGGCUGACCGAGCUUGUUCAGGUGCUGGUUUGUGUUGCAGCGGCCUGUGGUCUCCCUGGCUCCAGCCGCCUGCUUGGAAAGUCACGCCCCAUAUUCCUAAACACCGGGCGAACGUUAUGUCGUAUACCUUUUAGCCCCGUUUAAAGCCUUGAAAAGGCCGAGCAGUCUUCCCGAAGUCUCACAUCCCGUACGAGGAAAGAAGCUUCGUAUUACAACAAGCUGACAUGUUUUUAGCUCAAGAGUAGAGACUUCUGUCAAUCAUGUGGGAUCAUGAAUGCCUCAAAGGUUGGAGGUCCAUGCGUUGACCAAGAAGAACUCCAGCUGCUUCAGAUUGCUUGAUUGUCACUGAAAAGUACACCCAAUAUGAAGAAGAUUGCAGUUAACUGGAGAUUAAAAUUAGAUGUCUUAAUAAGGCAAAUCA